rnacentral:rRNA from 1 species
AUUGAACGCUGGCGGCGUGGAUAAGGCAUGCAAGUCGGACGCGAAAGUCCCCUUCGGGGGAUGAUUAGAGUGGCAAACGGGUGAGUAACACGUGAGUAACCAACCCUCAGGUGGGGAAUAACUUCGGGAAACCGGAGCUAAUACCGCAUAAGUCGAAGGUGUCGCAUGGUGCUUUCGGGAAAGCGGGCCUCUACAUGUAAGCUCGCGCCAGAGGACGGGCUCGCGGUCGAUUAGCUAGUUGGUAAGGUAAAGGCUUACCAAGGCAAUGAUCGAUAGCUGGUUUGAGAGAAUGGUCAGCCACACUGGGAUUGAGAUACGGCCCAGACUCCUACGGGAGGCAGCAGUCUAGAAGCUUCGGCAAUGGGGGCAACCCUGACCGAGCGACGCCGCGUGCAGGAUGAAGGCUUUCGAGUCGUAAACUGCUUUCG